rnacentral:misc_RNA from 1 species
AACCAUAGAAACCUGCGGAGUACCUGCGGAGGGAUCAUUACCGAGUGCGGGUCCUCGUGGCCCAACCUCCCACCCGUGACUAUUGUACCUUGUUGCUUCGGCGGGCCCGUGCCCGCCGGAGACCCCAACAUGAACCCUGUUCUGAAAGCUUGCAGUCUGAGUGUGAUUCUUUGCAAUCAGUUAAAACUUUUAGCAAUGGAUCU